CCUGUCUAGUUUCCAAAGUCCACAAACUCAGCUUAGUAUUUUUCUUUUUUAACUGCUCUUCUCACAAACCACCUUUGUGUCUGCAGGUGUGUGAAUGGCUCCUCAUUUCUUGAUAUUAACUAACAAUUAACUAAAUGGUAACUUGCUAAUCAUUUUCAAGAUCUAGUAUUCCAUUGUAGCCAUGACUAGAAGCUAAUUUUCACCCUUUUAAAGAUACUUUUAGCUGAUUUCUUUCUAAUGCUUACAUGGUAUAUGAACACCUCAACUUUUGGACCCUUGUGAAUGUGUGGUUGUCAGGUUCUAGAGUAAUGCAUACCUAAAUUACUGAAAAAUAACCUGUGGAAUCUAGGUGGAAAGCUAAUGGAUUUGCUUUUUAUCCCCUUUCUUUAUAAAACAGAAAUGGUAUUUGAGUUGCUAGGGCCAUUCUGGCUGACUGCAAAGGAACACACAUAAGGGCCAGGCAGGCAAACACUUGCUGGGCAAGAUUAGGAUGGCUGCCAGUACCUUCUGACACAGCCAUCCAAAUGUUUGAUGGGAGGGGAACACACCUGUCCCUAACUUUCCUUCCACUCAACUGACAGAGACAAAAAAAAUCACAAGUUGGGUAGGUCAUGCAAGUAUCAAUUUACUACAGUAAGCCGUAAAGUUUAUUUGGAGCUGGGGAAAACAGGAGGGCUGGGAUCAGUGGUGCAGGAGCCUCUGACCUAAAAAGGGUUGCUUUGCUGACUGGAAAGACUGUCUGCCUUGAAAGCUUCAGGAAGAUGCAGAUGGAGAAGAAAGGGAGCAGCAGAGCACCCAUCCUGUCGGCCACGUAAGUUGGUGCUGACAAUCAACAGGGUGACAAACGCGCACUCGUUUGAUGUAGAUUUGUAAAGGGGUUACUAUGUUCUAGGCACUAAACCUGGUAGCUGGGUCACUCUUACAUUUGGAUCUUAAGCUUCUGCUGACAGAACCUAGAACACUGAAGACUCUUAACGUAGUGACUGAUCUCAAAUGACCUACUGAGUAACAUCUAUAAUCAGGUUUAAGUAAAUGUUUUCUCUUCAGCCAUCUCCUUCCGUUUUCCAUUUAUAUGGGGAAUUAAAAUGGGAAAUGAGAGAGAAUCCCAAAGUGGGUAAGAAUGGAGGAAGAACUUCACACAGGCUCUAAGGAGGCAGAGAAGAACAUGAGGCUGCAGUUAUCAAUGGAUUCUUUAGUAGUUGUGCUUUCUAUGACAUGGUCUGCUCCACAGUCCAAGCUGGGCAGACGGCAAAGCGGACUCACUGACACUCAGUCAUAUGGGACUCUGUGGAAGUGCUCUCUCCACAGUGUGUGAUUAAAGAAAGAAGAGAUUUCCAUGGGACUGGUAAAGGGAGGGUGCUGACUGGGAAAGAGACCCUCUGAGGCAUGUAAAUUACAAAGUGCUAAAGAGGAAGAAAUGGGUGAGGAAGUAGAAUUAAUCAUUUGGACGCCAUAUGCUUUGUCUUCCACUCCCAUGAGAGUUGAGGAUAAAAAGAGCACGUACAUCCCUGCCCCAAGCUGUCUUACAGAACCCUCUUCCCCUAUGCACACCCCCAACCAAGGUAUUGGCCUAAGUCUAAGAUUCACACAUAGGGAUGAAGUAGCAUUGGUCUCGGAAUUUAGGACAGUCUAGAUUCAAGUUUUUGAAAGCUUCCAGGUCAAUGCUUGUACAAUGGGAUGGUCUACCUUCCAUCCUGCUCAAAGGCAGGGGGACAAGGAUUCAGCCCAGCAUCAACCUAUCACAUGAGGUCUGUUCUGUUCCUGGCUUCUAAGAAUCCUUAUUUAAAAAUUUUUAAAAUCACUUAACGUUUUCCAACUUUAAGAUAUGUCAUCUUUAUUUUGACCAAUUCUGGGCAGCUCUCAAGGACAUGUGACCUGGUAUCUACCCAGGAUGAAUGUGCCUGAGAUAGAAACGGUCAGAGCAUCAUCCUCUCCCCCAGAUAUCUUGGGCAUUUUUCAUGACUUUUUUUUUAUGAUGUCAACUUGACUCUCCCUUUUGAAUCCUUGUGGGUAUGAGCAUUCGGCCCUCCCAGCCUCAGAGGGAAGAGAACCCUUUCUCAGGUUUUCUGUUGCAUCUGGCUCCAUGCCUAGCUUCAUCCCGAAGCAGCAUUCUGGGUGUGUGGGGCCACCAGCCAAACAAGCCCCUAUGGAUACAAAAAGUGUGUCAGUGUAGACAGGAACAAGCCUGCAGAGGGCUGGGGGAGGCAGGCAGUGAGCCCCGGGUGUGACACAGGCAGCUGCUCUGGCUCUGAUCCGUCUUGGACCUCUGAGGCCAGCCUCUAGCCUGACUUCAGGACCCAGGAUGAACCAUGUCUUGAAGUCCCAGGGCUUGCUGCCAGCCUGACCUCCCAACACAUGGGAGGAGGAUGGGCAGAGUAUCUCUUUCUGGUUCCUCCCUGUACCUGUCCAUAUGCCUGGCUUCAGUCUGCAAAGUUCCUACAUAACAGCCGGGACCAACCAAGUCACUCACGAUUCCUAGACAAGCAUCUCACACAGUACAUGCGUAUGACAAAGAAUGCUUCAUUCAUGAGAAGAGUCAAGUGUUCUCAUCUGAGUUGAGAGCCGCUGACCUUUCUGUGCUAUGCUGGGGCCUCCUUGCCCUUUGUCUCUACUUUAGCAAAAUGGAACAAACUUUCCAAGGUUCUAGGAUGAAAAUACUCAGGAGAAGCUACUCAAGUUGCUUUUUUACCUUGUGCCAAGUCUCCAGAGGGCCUACCAAAGCACCCCAGAUACAAGGCGACAAGCAAGUAUUACACAGCAGCGCUCACAGUCCUACACAAGAUGUAAAAAGCCAGGAAAGCCGACCAGAGGGAGCAACAACUGUAUGGCACCAACUUUACUUCCAUCCGUAUAACACUUCAGAUUUUAAAUACAAAGGCAGUGCCAGAAGUGGUGGCAGCAAUUGGAUUGAGGCAGGAGGAACUUGUCUAUGAUAAAAGUAGGAGAGAACUAAGGUGAUCCGUUUGACCCUCCAGAAAGGAUCCGCAAAAUCUCCCAGAGGGCUGAAAGUAAUUAUCUAACAUGAAAAUUUAGAGAGUCCACAGCAAAUCCUUGGCAAUGAACCAAUGGCUAUGGGAGGUUAUAGAAAGAUAAAAUCUGGCCUUCUACAUGGUCAUUAAAAUGACGGGUCCCAGGCCACACUGAUUUCUUGUUUCAAGCAUUAAAAAGAUGUGAUCUCCCAGACUGAUCUACAACAAAGUCAAAAUACAGAUAAAGCAAAUCUCAAGCUAGAAAGCACUCGGGUGGCAGUGAUCUCCCACCCGCUGUGGGUGUCCCUUUCACAGCCUCCCUAACCAGGGUCAUCCAAAUCCUCCUUAAGAGAAUCCACUGCCUCAUGGGGCAGCCAGCCCCAGUUCCAGGCAGCUGCGUUUUAAGAAAGUUCCUCUCUUAUCCACUAUUCCCGGUCCUGGAACGGGAAUGUGCAAAGGAACCAGCAACAGAUCCAUGUCUGGGUGCUUUCCAACAGGCAGCACACAGUCAUUAUAAAUGGCAAAAAGUGGUUGUUUUCUUGGGAAACACUGUGGUUUAAAAAUAAGUAAAAAUAAAAGGCUCAAGCAAUGGUCUUAGGAGUCUGGAGUUCUUAGCAGGAUUCAGAAGCCUGCAUUCCAAAGUCAGGCUGGAGAACUGUCUCCAGGUCUCUCCACUGUCACACUUGACAGGAGGUGCUGGGUCAGGAAAGAUCUAAAUCUAUGGUCCUAGAAAGGGAUUCAAUUCUCAGCUCAUUACCCCCAAAUCAAGGGGCUCCAGCAGUCAUGCACGCCCGGGCUACUCUAGCAAAACUGAACGGGCUAGAAUAGGAACAGGGCUGCCUCUGCAGGACUGCUGCUCCCCCUUGCCUCUUCUUCCAGUAACAAUGGGUGGGACCAACGAUCAGAGAGACCUGCUACUCUCAGUACUACCCUCCCUCUAGGAGAGGAAUUAGACAAACCAACCGCAAAAGUCCUCAGUCCAGGCCUGCCCCAGUUCUUCCAUCAAGACCACUAUCUAAAUUGGGAGAAAGUGAUUUCCUGUGUUUCCUCACACAGGAGCUCCAAACUAUGAAGUCAGCAAGAGUGCCUUUAACUUUUCCAUCCACUAAAAUAGGGACACUUGCUGUUUAAGGCUUACUGUGAGAAGCUCCUCUAAGAAGGGAAACGAAGCACCAGGCAACAACUCUAAGGGGGAGACAACAGGCCUGAGGAUGGGUGGAGAAAGGGACAGCAGUCUCCCCAGCGGGUGAGGGCUAGACUGGAGAUCCCCCCACUGCCAAACGCUAAAACUCAGUGCUUUUGUCUUACGUUUCAUGCUGGCAUUUGGCCAAUGCCUCCCAGUCUGUGAAACAGUGCUUGUAAGUGCUGACCAAAAUGACAGGUGGGUGAUACCACACAGCAAGGGCUGAGAAUCUUAGAAGGACCACAGGAAAGAAAUGCCUUGCUUUUGCCUCCUAUGGAGUAUGGAGACUCCAUUAAAGUGAUUUUUUAAGUAGGACCCAAGCCAAAUCCAUCCAAUCAUUUCUGCUAGGGAAAACACAGGCAGAUAUCCCCUAAAUGUGCACUAGUAAGUAACCAGGAUAACUACAGGUCCCUACAGGCGGAAGAGCUGCGAUGCCUGAGAAAACCUUCCAUAGGCGGGGAGGUUCUCAUGGUGCACCCAUUACACCCAACCCCACUCCUCGCGCCCAUGGGGAUUUCCCAGGAGACCUCCUCUGCCCACUCCUCCCAGGACACAGGACUUUGGGAACAAGGAGGCAGGGCUAAAAGACAGAGGCGGCAGAGGACAGAGCCGAGUGUGCUUUUACUCUAGGAGAUCACAAUAAGAAACAUCUUCACCUGGCAGGAAUUGUGGCUACUGGGUACAGGCACUGAGCUUGAAGCAGUUGUGUAAAACCAGGCUACUUGUUACUGUUAAAACCUCAAGACUUAGCCCACAGGGAAAUGAGUUACAAUGCUGUCUUGUCUAAGGGCUACUCACUUCUUUUUAAAGAGCUUGCGGAAGGAGCUGCGAAAGCCCCCUUUCUGGUCUUGCCUGGGGUUUUGAUCGCUGAAAGAUGUUUGUUCACUUUCUCUUUCUUCCUUUGGACAGAAUCUGGUGGCAUCUUCUAAAUGCAUCUCCUGAAAACACAAAAGAGGGGUGUAUUUUUACUCUUAUCCAAAGUUAACAUUGAUCCUGACUAUGGGACAAUUUUCUUUAACCUCUCACUUUCCUCUCCCACCCCAAAAGACUAAUGACGGGCACCUAUUCCAACUAAAGCAAACUUGGGCUAAUUAAGAAACUAGAUCUAGCGAUUCUUUGGGAUUCUACUAAGAUUCAUAACUAAAUAAUGGAGAUCAACAUUUUGAUGGCUGAGUGUAGCAUUUUUGAAAGUGUGGUCCUAGGGCUAUAGGAUCAACUGGGGCUUUCAUUUAAAUGUAGGCUCCUGAGCCCAAAAACCAAACUAUCUGAAUCAGAAUCUCUGAAAUUAGGCCUAGCUAAUCUUUUUGCACAGAUGAGGAAAACAGCAGUUUAAGGUAUGUUCUUGCCCACCUGCACUUAAUGUUUAUAUGAGUCACCUUGGAAUCUUGCUAAAAUGCAGAUUUUGAUUCAGUUGGUCACAGGUGGAGCCCAAAUUCUGCAUCUAGAACAAGCUCCCAGGUAAAGCAUUUACUACUCAUGCAAGGACCAAAUCUUGAGAAGUGGGCUUUUUAGGAAGUAAAUCUACUAAUAGUUGAAGGAAAAUCUUUCUGUGGAAUCAUGAUCUUGAUAAGAUCUUGCCUUUGUGUAGCAUUUCACACUUGACAAAGCAUAUUCACAAACUUUAUCUUAUUUGGCCUUAUCCUCACAACAACCCUGUGAGGUAGGUAAAGUAUGGAUUGUCUUAUUUCAUAGAUGAGAAAACUGGAGGCAGAGAAGCCAAAUGAAUUGUCCAGAAGCACACAGCUAUUUGGCAGCAGAGUCAGGAUUAGAACACGGAUCUCCUGACUCCCAGUCAGGUGCUCUUGCCACUGAAGCAUAUCGUCUUCUUUUUUUACUCUUAGCGACAGAACACUCAAGACUAGGGUUUGGCUGGCUCUGAGGACAAGGAUGGCAAAUACACAGUACAUCUGAGGAGAUGGAACCCUAGGAGCUUUGCACACCUCAUCAGGAAAGAGCCGAUAUCUUUACAGAUGGGGCUUUUGAAGGGCUCAUCUUUUGCAGCUAAAACCCCAUCUCACUCUGAUGAAUGGUUUUUGCCUGGCAAAACCAUUUGUUGAGCUCCCAAUUUUUCACACAUCAACUAGGGGAAAAAAGACAUUUGUAUGAGCAUAUGAAAUAAAAGCAUUCUUUGCAGUUUAUACUAUAGGAGUUAAAAGAUUUUGUAUGUAUAUCUCUGCCCAUUCCAAGUGACUUUGAGUUGGCACUUUUUCUACUUUCCUUGUUAACUUUAAAAAAUAUGUGUGUAUAUAUAUCUUUCAUUUUUUAAUCCACUUUUUUUUUUUUUUUGGCCACGCUGUGCAACAUGUGAGAUCCUAGUUUCCGGACCAGCGAUCAAGCUCAUCAAACUCAUGCCACCGCCACUCUUGCCCUGCACUGGAAGCACAGAGUGUCAACCACGACUGCCAGGCAAGUCCCGAAACUUUUAAACUUUGACACAUGCCUAACUUUGAUUUAUCUAAGAAAUUUUACCUAAUAGAACUGUAUAAAGUUCAGAGUUGAAAAUCAGAGGCAGAAGGAAAUCUAAGAAUCCCGGGGCCCUUCAGCAACCUUAGCUGGGCACACUGAAGUAUUUCUGCCUUUCAGGAGGCAGACACAGACUUUGAUUUCUGGAGUUCAGAUGGGCUGGAAGCGCCAAGGUUCUUCAUGUUCCUCUGGCCUAAUGUUCACCACUCCCACCUGGGGAAGUAUUCAAAAGAAGACUCACUCCUCCCUUUUUUUUUUUUUUAAGGCCCAUGAGCUUUUUUUUUAUAUUUCCCUACACCAUUCUUCACUUAGCCAAUAGCUAAGCAGCUUUUAAAGUUGAAUUCAGAUGUUCAAACUAUCUAAGACUUCUCUGAGGGUUUAAAUAGAGACCCUCCCAUGUGCUCCCAUGGUUUAUUAUAAUUCUGUUUAUGUGUCUCCUUCAGGGCUAAGCCAGUGGCCUUGGAGGGCAGAGACUGGAUGUUGUUUAUUUCUGAACCCUCAACAUUUAGCACAGAGCCUGGGGUGAGGCAGGUGGUCAGGGUUUGCUGAAAAAUGAAUGGAGUCAGUGAUCUUCAAUCUCUUCCCACUCCUUUAGAAAUAGGAACAGGUGGAACGCAGGGCCCUCACUCCUGUGGAAAAUCGUUUCUCCUGGAGGCAAAGGAUCCCUAGUGCUGGAUGUAAGGGACACUUAAUGAAGGACAGUCCUGGACUGUCACUUUCAAGGUGUUUCAAUCAAUACAGUGCUGCCCUGUAAAUCCUAACCCUGCUUCUAAAAUGUUAAAACAGGAAGAAUGGGGGCAUAGCUCAGAGCCACUCUGUUACUCUCUACUUAAUCAGAAAUUGCCUUUGUUCCAAUCACUUGUGGAGACAUUGUUUAUUCAGGAACUAUUAGUCCUUUCACGAAUAUGUAUUUAAACACUUCUUUAAAUGUCCCAAGGCUUGCAGAUGUCAAGAUGAAACAUCAAAAUACCAAACAUCCAUAUAGAGGCCAAAGAAGGUGUUUGUGAGUCAAUGCUUUCUGGACAGUUUGGUGCUGUCUUCGUCCAACUGGAGUCUGCAAAGUACCAUGACACCCUUUUCCAGGCAAAAGGAAAGCAAGUGGAAAUGAACUUUUCUCAAGAGUCCCCAGGGAGAGAGGGCAACUUGCCUCCUCCCUAGCUAUAAACAAGGGUGCAGGUCAGGGCUAGCACCUAGGAUUCGAUAUUUUGAACAAGGGGUGCGUUUAAUAGGCAAAGAAGACACAUCCCCUGGGACUUCUGUGAAGUGUUUUGCAUAUGAACUGCAUCUGGGAGGUGCCACAGCUUAAGCAGGAAAGCACAGAACACCUGUAACUCUUUAACUUGGUGGUGGUGGGCGGGGGGUGUUUUAAGCAGGUCUAAGAGGAGUCCUAGUCUUUUUGUCAUCAUACACAUACAUAGGUAUGGCAUGCUCCUGCGUCCUGGCCCUGAAGAACUAACAUUUUCCUCCGAGGACCACUGACGGACAAGCCUGUAAGUAACACGGGCUCUCAGCAUCUUCUGCUGCCCCCGCCUGGCCAACCUGCGUUCCCCUCCACGCUAGGUCUGCUUUUCGCUUUGGGACCUCUGUUGGGGAAAGAAGGUCCGGGGCGCCCCGCGAGCGGAGGCGGCUUGGCCGUGCGCCUGCGCGGCGCGCUCGGCCUUGAGCGGCGCGCGGCCGCCGCUGCUGCUGCGCGUGCUGUAGAGGCGCGGGGCCACGCCCUCGGGCGGCGGCGCGCGCGGGAACUCCUUGA